UNCUCAGCAAUACUCCAGAGCCUACUUCCC
rnacentral:piRNA from 1 species